AAGUCCUGCUUCUGUUGCAG
rnacentral:miRNA from 1 species